rnacentral:rRNA from 1 species
UACGUAGGGGCCUAGCGUUGUCCGGAUUUAUUGGGCGUAAAGAGCUCGUAGGCGGUUCGGCAAGUCAGCUGUGAAAUCUCCACGCUUAACGUGGAGGGGGCAGCUGAUACUGCCGUGACUCGAGUCCGGUAGGGGAGUGUGGAAUUCCCGGUGUAGCGGUGAAAUGCGCAGAUAUCGGGAGGAACACCAGUAGCGAAGGCGGCAUUCUGGGCCGGUACUGACGCUGAGGAGCGAAAGCGUGGGGAGCGAACAGG